rnacentral:rRNA from 1 species
AGUAGUUUGAUCAGUGGCUACGAGGACGAACGCUGGCGGCGUGCCUAACACAUGCAAGUCGAACGGGACUUAAACGGAGCUUGCUUUGAUUAAGUCUAGUGGCGGACUGGUGAGUAACGCGUGAGCAAUCUGCCUUUCAGAGGGGAAUAACACAGAGAAAUCUGUGCUAAUACCGCAUAAAGUCAAAUUAUGGCAUCAUAGAAUGACCAAAGGAGCAAUCCGCUGAGAGAUGAGCUCGCGUCUGAUUAGAUAGUUGGUGAGGUAACGGCUCACCAAGUCGACGAUCAGUAGCCGGACUGAGAGGUCGAACGGCCACAUUGGGACUGAGAUACGGCCCAGACUCC